ensembl:lncRNA PAXBP1-AS1 PAXBP1 antisense RNA 1
AGGAGGGAGACCACGCCCACUCUGCGCCGACCGGCUGGGCCUGGCACCCGCGGGCGGCCCCAGCCUCAGUCUCCAGCUACCUUUGCCUCCUGCGGCCGCCCCCAGGCAGAGCUGCGAUCCCACCGCCGGGGGUGCAGGGAGAGGGAAGAUCUGGCCUCCUUGGUCCUUUUGCGUGGGCUCUUCAGAGCGUGAGCGCCGGGGAGGGACUCCGGAGAAAAGCUUGGGGGGCUGCGUAUUGCUGCUCCCCAAGCUGGGCGUCAGGACCAACCCCGCCGCCCCCACGGGCCUGACGGGAGAGGAGGAAGGGCUCGGGACGGUCGGCUCGCCGAGCCAACCAGGUGGCGCCUGAAGAGCUGUCCAUGGUGUCGACAGCCCAGCAAACGGCACCGAGUUCCUAGUCUGAGUGUCUGGAUAGGUAGCAGAAGAAAAACUAAUGCCUGCUCUGGGACAGUUCUGUUCGGUGCCUUUUCUUGUGUGUUCUGGAGCUCACAGGGUUCUAUCGAAGAGUGCUUAGGUGUAUACGAUGGAGAGUGGGACGUCACAAACCAGGAUCUCAAGGCUGAGUCCAACAAAACAUGGCCGUAGGGAGGCCACGACAGCUGUGGUUGUCACCGACGGAUGAAUAGCUUUUGCCAACCGUGGAAUUUAGUAACUAAAGGCACCUAACCCUUUUAUCUCAUCCUCAUUUUUCAACAAAUGGUGCUUCCUGGCUAAUAUCAGCGUGUCCCAUAGAUUUCUGCUUCCAUUGAAUAGACCUAAUAAGAAAGAGAAUGAAGUCAAAGCCAACAGGGCAGAAAGAAAUUGAAAACCUGAAGAACCCAGCACUCAAACUGUCUCCACUUGCGUUUGCUUUUUCUUUACCUCUUCUCCUUCUGGUUUUCAACAGCCAAAGCAGGAUUUAAAUUUGGUUAUGUUGCAAAAAUCAUUUCCCUCUUCAGGCCCUGUCAUGUGACUUGAUUUUUUCGUCCAUUUUAGAGAAGCUGUACCCACCCUGGUUUCAGGACACGGAACUAAAUUUAUUAGAAAAGAAGCCACUUCAAGUCAUGAAGGAGAAACACAAAGAUUCUUGGAUUUAGUUCUAAGAACUAGAGGGGAUUUCUAUGUCAGUACUGUCUCAGAAAAAACUGUUGAUAUCAAAUGUGUUGCUUGAGAAGUACCUUUUUUUUUUUGAGACGGAGUCUCGCUCUGUCCGCCCAGGCUAGAGUGCAGUGGCGCGAUCUCGGCUCACUGCAAGCUCCGCCUCCCGGGUUCACGCCGUUCUCCUGCCUCAGCCUCCCGAGUAGCUGGGAUUACAGGUGCCCACCACCACGCCCGGCUAAUUUUUGUAUUUUUAGUAGAGACAGGGUUUCACCGUGUUAGCCAGGAUGGUCUCGAUCUCCUGACCUCGUGAUCCACCCGCCUCGGCCUCCCAAAGUGCUGGGAUAACAGGCGUGAGCCAUCGCGCCCGGCCGAGAGGUACCUUUUAUGACAACUGAAAUCAUUCAGUUUCAAGAGGAGUUGGGUACUGAAACCAAACUUGCUUACUCCAAAGCCCAAAAUCCUUUCCACCAUGCCUGUGUGUCUGUAAGGCUACACUAGAAAUGCUUCCUUUCUUAUAGUGGGAAGCAUGGGUACUAAGCUCUUUUACGAACAAGUGUUCUGCAUAUUCCUGGUUCCUUUUUAUUUUGGACUGAGGAGAUUUAGGUCAAAAUUUCUGGGUUCUGGGUUGGAAUUCCAGCUUCUUUCUUCAAAUUAAACUGGGGGGUAGCAAGACUUAUUCCUAGAUUUGUUAGAAGGCCACAGCUUUUCCACAUCUCAUUUUAGUCAUGAAAAAGACACAUGCCCAGAGUUUGAAAAACAUAAAGGCAAUUUGACUAGUGGCUUGAUUGGUUCUAUCUUCUUUUUCUUGUCCCUCUUUCCUAUUUAUACUUCUACUUUUGUUACAGCAUUUGACAAUAGUUGGAAAAAUUUUCACUGACCUUGAAAUGUCUUUGGGAUAGGGUGACUUAAAAUAUAGGUUAAGUGGCAUACACAAACUUCUUAGUGAGAUCCUAAGGGCCUACAGAGACAGGCUGACACCAACUCAACCCUUGAAACUGUGCAAUGAAGAGCCUGUGGGAGGCUAAAAAACGCUACUUCAAAAAGAGAUCCUUGUCUGUGAAUGUUAAUUUAGGUUUACAGAUUUGAUUAAGGGUCUUGAGAUUAUUUUCAAUUAUCCAGGUGGGCCCUAGAGCCCUAGAUGCAAUCAUAAGUGUCCUUAUAACAGGGAGGCAGAGGAAAAUUAAACACGCACACAGGAGAGAGAGAGAGAGAAAAAAAAGUGAUGUGAAGACAGCAGCAGAGAUUGGAGCGAUGUGGCCAUAGCCAAGCUAUGUCAGCAGCCAUCAGAAGUUGGAAGAGGCAAGGAAGGAUUUGAGCCUAGAGCCUUUGGAAGGAGCAUGGCCCUGUUGGUUCUGGCCUCCAGAACUGCAAGAAAAUACAUUUUUGUUGUUUUAAACCACCCAGUUCAUGGUAAUUUGUAACACCAGCUACAAGAAAUUAACACAAGGCUGAUGUGACUUUCCAUCAGGAGAGAGACAGCCCCAGCUCUGUAACAUUUGACUACUUUUGUAAGAGUUUCAUGAUUUCAAGGAUGAUUAUUAGCAUUUUCAAUUUUUUGGCCAAUUCUGGGUGCUGGUAAUGUUACCACUGCAGGCAACUAUGGCUCUACUCAACUGAAGACCUCUUAUAGGCAAUGUGGACCAUACCUGCUUUCCUGAGAGA